GCCCGGUUAGCUCAGUCGGUAGAGCAUGAGACUCUUAAUCUCAGGUUCGUGGGUUCGAUCCCCACAUUAGGCG
rnacentral:tRNA from 1 species